AGCAGCCGCGGUAAUUCCAGCUCCAAUAGCGUAUAUUAAAGUUGUUGCAGUUAAAAAGCUCGUAGUUGAAUUUCGGGAUUUGUCAGUUGGUCGGGCUUCACUGUCCGUAUUGACUUGAUGGAUUCUUACCUUCUGAAUAACCAGCAUGCUAUUAAGUUAGUGCAGAUCUAUUACCUUGAAAAAAUUAGAGUGCUUAAAGCGAGCUAGUGCUUGAAUAGAUUAGCAUGGAAUAAUAAAAUAGGACGGCAUGGUUUUAUUUUGUUGGUUUCUAGGAUCACCGUAAUGAUUAAUAGGGAUAGUUGGGGGCAUUAGUAUUCAAUUGUCAGAGGUGAAAUUCUUGGAUUUAUUGAAGACUAACUUCUGCGAAAGCAUUUGCCAAGGAUGUUUUCAUUAAUCAAGAACGAAAGUUAGGGGAUCGAAGACGAUCAGAUACCGUCGUAGUCUUAAACCAUAAACUAUGCCGACUAGGAAUUGGACGAUGUUAAUUUAUAAAUGAACUCGUUCGGCGCCUUACGGGAAA
rnacentral:rRNA from 1 species